GGUGCUUGUGAAGUUUCCUCCAUAGCUCUUUUGCAAUCAAUCAUUCGUCUGUUAUUAUGGGUAAAUGGUCAUCCAAAUCCGAAAUACACAACAGAUUAUAGGUUGAAUAUAUAUGUGUCUUACAAUCUAUUUCUUUCAUAUUUUCAGUUGUUCCAUUGUAUGCAUGCACAUUGGAAGGCAGAAAGUAAUGUUGGCUGGUCGCCAGAGAAGUAAAAAGGCCAACAUCUUGAGCUGUAUGGAGCAUGGUUGUUUUCUUGAAGUUUCUGAUGGAUUGUAUACCAUUGACUGAUAGGAAUCGUUCAUUCAUGAGAAUGGGACAAGAGCAUUGCUAGAUGGAAUUCGGCUGAGUGUAAGUACACAUGAGAGGUGUGUUUUCAUUGAUAGAGGAAGGGUGAGAGCAUGACACUUGUACAGGAAAAAGAAAGAAAUGGAAACCAAAAUUUAAAAGUAAAGAGAAGAAUGCUAUGAUCUCAUGAUAAGAUGUCGGUCACCAGCGAGCACCCACAUGAGAAAACCUAUAAUAGGUCCUAAGACACAUAAUAUGUGAUUAAGGGGCAUAAUUGGAUUAUGAGUUUGGACCAGAGAUACUUCCUAAAGUAUAUGCAUUGUAGCCCAGGCAACAAGUAUGAGUUGUCACACCUUUCUAU
rnacentral:lncRNA from 1 species